rnacentral:rRNA from 1 species
CCUACGGGAGGCAGCAGUGGGGAAUAUUGCACAAUGGGGGAAACCCUGAUGCAGCGACGCCGCGUGAGUGAAGAAGUAAUUCGUUAUGUAAAGCUCUAUCAGCAGGGAAGAAACAGACGGUACCUGAGUAAGAAGCCCCGGCUAACUACGUGCCAGCAGCCGCGGUACGACGCAGGGGGCAAGCGUUAUCCGGAUUUAAUGGGUGUAAAGGGAGCGUAGACGGCGAAGAAAGUCUGAAGUGAAAGCCCGCGGCUUAACCGCGGAACUGCGUUGGAAACUGUUUUGCGGGAGUACCGGAGAGGUAUGCGGAAUGCCUGGGGUAGCGGUGAAAUGCGUAGAUAGUAGGCAGAACACCGGUGGCGAAGGCAGCUUACUGGACGGUAACUGACGUUGAGGCACGAAAGCGUGGGGAGCAAACAGGAUUAGAUACCCGGGUAGUC